rnacentral:rRNA from 1 species
UGGGGAAUUUUGGGCAAUGGGCGAAAGCCUGACCCAGCAACGCCGCGUGAAGGACGAAAUCCCUCUGGGAUGUAAACUUCGAAAGUCGGGAAAGAAAUCGCACGGGAUAAUACCCCGUGUGGAUGACGGUACCCGACGUAAGCCCCGGCUAACUACGUGCCAGCAGCCGCGGUAAUACGUAGGGGGCAAGCGUUGUUCGGAAUUACUGGGCGUAAAGGGCGCGUAGGCGGCACAGCAAGUCGGGAGUGAAAGCCCGGGGCUCAACCCCGGAACUGCUUUCGAAACUGCUGAGCUAGAGUGCGGAAGGGGCAACCGGAAUUCCCAGUGUAGCGGUGAAAUGCGUAGAUAUUGGGAAGAACACCUGAGGCGAAGGCGGGUUGCUGGGCCGACACUGACGCUGAGGCGCGAAAGCCAGGGGAGCAAACGGGAUUAGAUACCCCGGUAGUCCUGGCCCUAAACGAUGGAUACUUGGUGUGUGGGGUUCUCUGAGUCCCCGCGUGCCGGAGCUAACGCGGUAAGUAUCCCGCCUGGGGAGUACGGUCG